UACGAAGGGGGCUAGCGUUGUUCGGAAUUACUGGGCGUAAAGGGUUUGUAGGCGGUUGUUCAAGUCAGAUGUGAAAGCCUGGGGCUUAACCUCAGAAUUGCAUUUGAAACUGUUCAGCUAGAGAGUGUUAGAGGAAAGUGGAAUUCCUAGUGUAGGAGUGAAAUCCGUAGAGAUUAGGAGGAAUAUCGAUGGCGAAGGCAGCUUUCUGGGACAUUUCUGACGCUGAGAAACGAAAGCGUGGGUAGCAAACAGG
rnacentral:rRNA from 1 species